GAUAGCUUUGUGCAAUCGCUAACUGCACAGGCGGAAAUUAAAAUAAUCAAAUUUCAUUCCUGGUGACCAUUCAUUGUACUUAAUAAACUUGGAAUAUUACUGUAUUCCGUUGAAAUAUCCGUUUAUAUUCAACACGUAUAAAGUUUGAUCAACUAGCAAAUAAUUAUAUUCAACACGUAUGGUAAACACGUCACGAUUUUUGCCACAGGUUUACACUUGCAUAUAAAUAAGUUAGAUAAUUUAUUUUUUUAUCACUAGAAAUAUCAGCGAAUCAUCAAGCUCGUGUAAGAAGCAUAAGAUAGAAACUUCUACGCGCACAGUAGAAAAAGCCGUAUGAGAACGCCUUUCCGUCGGUGCCUUUAAACCGCGAUGUCAGUGCACAUUUCUGAACGGGUGGCGCUCUGCCCCCUCCUCCUGGUUUUUUUCUCUCAGUUUCCCCUAUGUGCACCUAAAUACCGUUAUCGUAAUAAACGCAGAUUCCGUUAUUCUCGAAACAGAGGAUAUCUAUCAGAUACACGUUCGUGUUAGAUCAACUUUAUCCGAAUUUAAGCUCUUUAAGACAGACGGGCGUUUGCAAAGAUGACAGUAGGAUUCACAAGCAGCACCAUGUCUCGUGUGCGCGAUGCAGCACACGAAUAGUGGGGAGAAUGAAAGAGGCAGUGAGCGAGGUACUGGUGAAGGGAGCAAAAGAGAGGGGGAGAAAUCGAGUAGAAAGUGGGGGAUGAAAAGAGAAGAGAGGGGAACGACGAGGAAGGUAGAGAGGAAGAGUGAGGAAGAAAGAGAAGACAUUGACCGAACGAGCAGCCGCGCGACAAGGCCUCCUUUGCCGUGCUAGGCCAGCUGGAAGGAACGAAGCUUGAACCCUGACUUCUCUUUCUCAACUUAAAUUGGCUACCAAAGAAACGAUGGGAAAAAGCCACUAGAACUCGCUGUG